UGGGGAAUUUUGGACAAUGGGCGCAAGCCUGAUCCAGCCAUGCCGCGUGCGGGAAGAAGGCCUUCGGGUUGUAAACCGCUUUUGUCAGGGAAGAAAUCUUCUGAGUUAAUACCUCGGGAGGAUGACGGUACCUGAAGAAUAAGCACCGGCUAACUACGUGCCAGCAGCCGCGGUAAUACGUAGGGUGCAAGCGUUAAUCGGAAUUACUGGGCGUAAAGCGUGCGCAGGCGGUUUUGUAAGACAGAGGUGAAAUCCCCGGGCUCAACCUGGGAACUGCCUUUGUGGCUGCAAGGCUUGAGUGCGGCAGAGGGGGGAUGGAAUUCCGCGUGUAGCAGUGAAAUGCGUAGAUAUGCGGAGGAACACCGAUGGCGAAGGCAAUCCCCGUGGGCCUGCACUGACGCUCAUGCACGAAAGCGUGGGGAGCAAACAGGGAUUAGAUACCCUGGUAGUCACGCCCUAAACGAUGUCAACUGGUUGUUGGGAAGGUUCCUUCUCAGUAACGUAGCUAACGCGUGAAGUUGACCGCCUGGGGAGUACGGCCGCAAGGUUG
rnacentral:rRNA from 1 species